rnacentral:lncRNA from 1 species
GGACCUGCGACUCCGUGGGACUCUGGUGCCCGCCCCUCCGCCCCUCCGCCGCGGCCCUGGAAGUCGGUUGAGUGCGGAGACCGCGACCGGAGGGGCGCAGAACGCUCCUCCGGGCGUCCUGGGCUCCAAGGACAUAAUUUUAAAACCACCGGGAAAUCCGAGUCCCGCCGCCCGCCGGGGGUGGAGCGUGGCCGCCUAGCUGAGCCCAGCCUGGUGAGUUCCAGGGCUCUGUGGUACCCCAGCCGCCGACGCUCUCCGGUGUCUCUUGGCCGCGGCGGGAACGGAGCUGGGCGCCCAGACGGCGCCGGGGUAGUUUCUCUGUCCCCGCCCCGUGGCCGGAGCCGCAACCCUGCCCCUUCGCCACUGGGGCUGCGCCUUCCUUCCUCGCUGCCGGACCGCGCCGGAGCCACCGACCCCAGGCAACCCGGGCAGCAGCUGUCAUGGAGAAGCCCGGUGCCCACGUGGGGUGCCCGGCAACAGGCCAGGCCGCCUGGCGCCCUUCUUCUCGCCCACGACUGUGGCCGGCGGUGGCCUCUGCUUCCCGGACCCACGAACAAAGCUGGAGAUUGCUGCUGCGGAGUGGGUCCUGGGUCGCAGCCGUCGGGGCACGGAACGGCUGCCCGGGGUGUUCCCUCCUCCGGAGCGGUGGCUAGGGCUGGUGGGGCGUGUGCGACGCGGGACCCCGAGCCCGCCGCCAAGCAUGGCAAGGACCAGCGCGAGCCUCUCCCCACCGCGGCCGAGGACGGCAGGCAUGGGGUGGGAGCCCGCCCAGGACAUCCAGGUGGGAUCGGCCACCGCUCAGGCGCUGUCCCAGGUGAACGCGGCCAGGGGCAGGCUCAGCACUGCGCAGGCUGCUGGCUCAGUGAGCGCAGAGAGGGACCCCCGGUUUAUGCCAAAAGCAUGUCUUCUCCAACCUCCUCCUUAAGCCCCUGUCUCCUAUGCGGGUUCCUGUCUCUCUCCAAUAGUUCCUGGGUGCCUGGGAGCAGAGACUUGGCCCGUUCUCCCCAGGCUCAGCUGCAGGCUUCAGUGACCUGGGCAAAGUCUGGUUAA